GGUUGCGUGGCCGAAUGGUCUAUGGGGCUGGUUUUAGGCACCAGUCAUUUGGAUGACGUGGGUUCGAAACCUACCGUUUCCA
rnacentral:tRNA from 1 species